AUUGGUAGAUGUUCAUUUCUUAAAACAAAAGGAUAUGAAGCAACUGUACAUCACUGAUAUAGAUAAACCUACUAUAUUCGAGGACUACCUGGGACAGGACACCCGCAUUGCCUUGAAAUCAAUAAGUAUCAGCCCUGGAUGGUUGAACCUAUACAGCGACAAUGAUAUUACGAUCAGGAAAGGGUGACUCGUAUCGAGAUCAUGAAGGGUUUGUACAGGAUCGAGGACAUGGCGGCUAUUGUCAACAGCCAGGCAGAGGACAAGAUCAGGAUUUUCGUUUUGAAAAACGGCUUCUGCAGGCUCCGUGUCAGCGAUGGGUACUCGGUGGUGAUUCAUCGACCAUUGCAGGAGCUCCUAUGACCCCUCAAAAAAGUAUUAUAUGAAGGGUGACUAUGAUGCCUUAUACAGGACCGAUACAUACCAGAGAUUGAGACUUAUUUGUCCACAAGUGGAUGAAGACGACUGCCUUUUGGAUGGCAAAAAAAUCCAAGAUUCUGACCUUGCUUCCUACCAAAGAAUUGAACGCUUGGGGAGAUAUGUUAACCUGGACCUUUGACAGUCCUGUAUACCUUCCACUGAAGGGGUCCACUGACCGUCUUGAGUUCAUGCUAACGGACGUCUACCAUCAUGAGAAGAACGUCAUGUUUUUUAAUAUAACCAUGUGCAUUCUGACAGAAUAAAAGAAUGAGUGAUAUCAGCAAACCUUAUCCGAGUUUGCCGAGUGCACCCGCACAGGGCUCUGAUCAGGAUGAGGGGCAGGUCUUUAGGCUUAAAAAAUAGAGGAAAUAGGAUGAAAUAAAGGAGCGGAAUAGACUUGGCAAAAAAUUCAAAAUGCACAAUACGUGGGUACGCUUCUGCGACCAUGGCGUAUCUGUGAUUACGUCAGGGCUUUGGAUUGGAGCUAUGGCCUCGGGUUUGGCGGUUCCCCUAGCCUGUGCUAUGGGAGGACUCGCGAUUGCCGCCGGAAUAGGGUAGGCUGGUCUCCGGAACGCCUCAAGAAGGUUGCGUCUUAAGUCCAAAAAACAUGAUAGCAUAAGGCUACUCGCGGAGGCGAAAUUAAACUCGAUUGUAGACCUGAUCAGCAAGGCAAUGGAAAACGGCGUUAUCAGUGACCACGAGUAUAGCCUGAUUAGCCGUGAAAAGGAGAGGUAUAUGCUGCUCAAAGAGCAAAUGCGGCAGAGGUUUAAUAGGAUCGUGAAUGCUAUCAACGAACAGGAGAGAGCCCAGUUGGUUGCCAAGGGUAGGGAGGAGGGAAAAGACGAAAUUUUAAAAACACUUCAAUCUGUGCAAUAUGCAAGCACUAUGUAGAGUCCCCACCUGAAUAUAAGACUUAAUUUGUAUUAUAUUUUAUAGGCCCAAAAGGUCUAUAAAAUAUAUGGUUCUAGUCCUCGCUUAGCAAACAUUCCUUCCUAAAGUCUUUGUACCGGCAUUCCGUAAUAUGUGUUUGAGGGUAGUAGUUUUUACCUUGUGCAUAUACCGAUGAAAUAUUCAGAAUUGCACUAGCUUGGCAGGGCUCAUCAUAGGGUACAGGCAUACCAUAAAAUUUUGUGGUAAUUGUGUCCUUGUAAUAUUGGAGUUUGGCAUUCACAUAACGGUCCUUUUUCACAGGCUCUGUCGUCAAUUGCUCGGAAAUAAGCUCUUCGAUUUUUUUGCCAUAUUUGUCGAUACUUUGCAACCCAAUCGGGGUAUUCCUCAAAAUCGAGGCUCAUUGCCGGUACUGCAUUGGUGUUAUGCCGUGUCACCCCAUGUGCGGACCAGAUCUUCGGUGUUUUCACCCUCAAGGCAACCACGAGAUCUUGUGUAUGGUACCUUAUAAUGUACCGAUUAUCCUUCCACUGUUGGCGGGCAUGGGAUCUGACACCGUCAGGUAGUUUACAUUGAUAUCAUCGAUAUCUGUGAAGGUAGCAGCAAAUGAGUAGAAUAGUUUUCGGAUAACGAGCUCAUUCUCAAAUUUUAGUAUCCUGUUUAUUGUAUACUUCGAACGACUGCAGAGAAUUGCAUGUCAUCGUACAUACGCAACCACCUCCAUUGUAUGUGAUAUGCUCAUUAUAACAGUACCAGCAUAACAUUUUACCCUUUACCACGAACCUCCGACCACAGGUGCAUCUAUCAUACGCAUCCAAUAUACGCUCACAGUCAUUACAUUGUUCAUUCAUUUACUCUAUAGUCUUCAAGACGAUCCUCCAGGUCUUUAAUCCUCUGCUCAUUGGACCCCUCCUUCUCUGAUUCUUGUACUAAUGCCAGGGCCAUAAGAGGUAAGGAGAUACCUACGGCGGCCAUAAAUGUAAUCAGUGUUGCGGUCCCGAAGAUAUCGAAUUUUGAUUGACAGUUAAUGCACAUUUAUUAUAUCUUACCACCAUGUUGAUAGGGACUUUACUCUCUUUGAAUUCCAUGACUCAACACCGACAUUUUGUAUGAUAGCGCAUGCGUUGAUGAUCUUUGCUGAUGAUCAACGUAUUUUUGUGUAAUGGAGCGUGACGAAAAGUUGUGACGUCACAAACAAAUUGUGUAUGAUAUUUUUUAUGAGGGUUUGACAGUGAUUUUUGAAAAAGCGUGUAUAGAAGGACCCCCUACAGUAGCUAUUCUAUCUGAAUAUCUUUAUUUGAAGAGCAUAGGACCAUUAUUAAGUGUCGGGUGACGUCAUAAUUAUUAUAAUUUAUAAAAUUCGGGAAAGGCGUAUUUAUGUUUGAAAAAAUUCGCAUCCUCGUCCACAGGGUCUCUUAAGGAGCGCUAUAUCAAAUUGAUCAAAAAGGCAAAAUGCCUUGGGAACGAGUUGGAAAGUAUCGUUCCUCAUCAUUUUAUGUUUUUAUACAGACAUGUGGGAUGCGGAGAUACGUGGAUAUUUUGCAAAAAUAUUGAGUUUCUUACAUUAUCCUUCCCUUUAUCACUACGACUGUGCUAAUAUCUUUACAAUAUUACAAUUUAACCACUUGAAAGUGUUUCUUUUCAAUACAAAAUUUUUUUUGUAGAUCCUCUAAAGACAAAAAUUGAUUCGUUUCAAGAUUCUUAUAUAUCUUAUCACCUGCAAUAAGAACAUUAUCUAAAUCUGCUGUAGACCCUGCACCGAUGCGUAUAAACAUAGACCACCUAAUCGCAUAUAGAACAUUGCAAAUACACUGUUGUCCAGAUGUAUCAGCAAAACUAAUAUUUCUCUGGCUAAACGAUAUUUUGUAUUCUUGUGGGCCAGGGUUUGUUUCUACAGGAUUACAUGACUGCAUCGUGUAUUUUCAAUUAGGAGUAGAAAUUUACAGCGAGUUGUUCUUCGAUUUAAAGGAUUAGCUAGCUAACUAUGUAGUGUUUCAAGCACGUAGCUAGCAUGUCUGUAAACAAUUUAUGAUAAAAAAUUAUAUUUCUUGUAUAUAGCUAUCUGACUUGAGAGUGUUCACGGUCAGAAUCAACAAUGACAAGAGACUAUGGUCAGUGAGCCAGUCUGACAAUACUGGUAGUUAGAUUCAAUGUGACAAGACUUUGUGGUCAGUAUCAAUCUGACCAAGCUAAACAGUCAGUAUCAAUCUAACACAUCAAUAUGAAUGUGAUCACAUUCACUACAUCAUGGGCCAGAAAAAUAAAGGAGACUGGCUUACCUACGUACAAUUAGCUGUAGCUAUAGGCGAUGCAAAAAUAGACAUACAAGAACAAUCUUGUUAAUACUUCAGGAAAUUUGAUAUACUCACCUCGCUUUUUUUUUUUCCUGAUGACUGGUGGAGUCGAGGAAAGAAAUUUAUGCGAUCAGCACAGCCAGCGUGUCGUGGCCACUUUGCCCAAAAAAAUAAUCGAUAAAGCUACUAUUGUGUCCAGUGUCGAGAAUGUGCCAAUGUAUCGAACCGUGAAAGUUGUAAAGAAAGAAGGAAGAUAUGGGACUAUUUUAUUCAUAUGCGAACUCCGUCCGCAGCUGAAUGAUCCUACAGAUUCUUUCUAAUCAACCCACUGCACUCCUGAACAGAGAUUUUUUAUUAGGAGCGUUUUAUAAGAAGAUGAGAUUCGUGUCUAAAAUUUUUAGGAAGUCCUGAAAUGUCCAGGCAGAUAGUAUUCUUUUUGUUACCAACAUCGUUUCAAUUCAUUUUCAUUUAAUACGCGUUAAUCAUUCUUUCUUGUUCAAAAAGUCCUGGAAAUGAAAGUGUUCGAGGUCAGUUAUUGACAGAGGAGUAGAGUUUCAUAAUAUGUAAAAUUGCAAAAAAUUUAACGCGGCGCAUCAUACAGUGACAAUUUCUAAGGGGGUUGUUAUUGAAACUGUUUUACAUGGAUUUUGAGAAGUAAAAUGUUCAAAGAAGAAAAUUAAUCUAGGUGAAGAAUUAUCAUGCUGAAAUGAAGUUUUUUUUCAGACAAAUAUAAUUUUCUAUAUGUUCAUAGGGAGAAACGAGAAAAUGAAAAAGCUACAGAAUUGUUUUUAGAAACCACUCAUGACCAAAGCCACGUUAACGACUCUUCAAUUCCAAAUGUUGUGGAAAAAGAAUUCCACUUAAUCAAUGAUACUGUAGAGGGAAUAUCUGACGCAGAUAUAUUAAAAUAUUGUGUGCCUAAAUCAACUGUAGAGACUGAACAGGAAAAGACUAAUGACAUUGAUAACGGUAACUUAGUUCUUCAUCUAUACCAAGUUUUGAAUUUUAAGAGUAGUUUAGCAUCGUUUUCUUAUCUUCAUUUGGUCCUGACACAACUAUUAAGAUAAAUGAGUAGUACAACAACAACAUUGACGACGGUACUAUUCAAAUAAGAGUCUGUUUAGUAAUGGGUUGGUUCACUGAUUCAUCAUCGAAGAUUUGGUCCCGUCAGCAUUUACGGUCUCACUAACUGAAAUCUAUUUCGAACUCCACUACCGUAUUCCUUCUAUUUGACGCUCUGGGCGUUUAAUGAAUUUUCGAGAUUUUAGAGUUGGGCGUUAACUGGUGAGGGGCGUUAAAUAGAGAGUAGACGUUAAAUAGAGAGAAUACUGUAUCUCGAACUUCCCGCUAAUUGUUAGUCCCUUGGGGCAAAUUACAAUCUUUAUCUCUAACUUUUUAUAAAAUGAUGGUGAUAGAAACAGUUCCGCUUUUUUUCGAACGCUUUAUCACUUUUGAAUUUUGGAACGCUUUACAGGAUUACAGGACAAAGAAAUAGAGAAAUUUGUAAAUUUGAAAGUUUAAUUUCAAGAGAAGAGUUAGACAAAUGUCACUUAAGGCAUUUAAUGAAAGAUUUAAAGGCGCUUAACGUUUAUCAAAUAAAUAUCUAUCAACACUUAAUCUUCAUGUUUAAAGUUAAAAAUGAGUUAGCACCACAAACAUUCCACAAUAGUUUUGAACUAAUAAAUCACAAUAUUCCGAAUAGAUUUCGUGAAAAUAAUCUAAGGCAGCCAAAAAUUGUUACGCAGCGAACUAGUUUUGCUAUAUCUAAAAGAGGACCACGUCUAGGAAUGACUUUUUAGACAGGGAUCUUAAAACGUUAACAUCAUUAUGUGUUUUUUAAGCAGUGUGUAAAAAAUUUUAUUGCGAAAUUUGAAAACAAAGUUACUUUCUUUUAAACAACAACAAGGAAUAAUAACUCUCUACUCUAACGAAACUUAUGAUGGGGCUUGGUGAUAAGGCAAAAUUGCUUUCUGCAAGCUCCAGUCAGUCUUUUAAUUUUUUCGUAUGGUUUAAGAUCUUUAUUUUACUAGCUGAUGUAUGUAUAUAUUUUCUAUUUACUUUUAAACGAUACGAACUUGUAUAUAUAAACGAACUUGUAACUCUCCUUGGCGGAAAAAAUACACACCACUACACUAGAUGAAAUGGAAUUCAAACGCGAAGGGAGUGUGUUUUAGUGGAGGAACAGCCUAUGAACAAAUGCUUGCAUUAAAGUCGUCAAUCGAAAGCAAAAAAGUUAUCGUAAGCCGAUUUCCAGAAUUUGGAAGCGUGCCACUGACCGACGUUUUGUUAAAGGACGCUAGUGUAAAUCUUCGUAGAGUGUAAAGAUUAUUACCCCAGCAUCAAAAAUGAAACAGGUGAAUACAGGCAAUAUCGAGGCUGUUUUCCAAUUUACCAUUUUCACAUACAGAAUUUUCUUACCACUCGUACCACUCGCCUCGUUCCCAUCGCUUCUUUACGAUGUCGAAAAGCAAAAAAGGGCUUUGGGAAGGAGGUUGCGCAUAAAGAAAAAGAGAUUCCAAAUUGAAAUCUCUUGUUUGAACAAGGUAAAACAACAAUGGAAGUAAGUAGACAAUGGAUUACAAAUUAAAAAGUAUUACAUAUUCAUCCUGAAAAACCGUGUUAUUAUUCUAUAUUCCUGCUAAUUAUGGAGUUGCCGAAACCUUUCAUGUUGAAAUUGUGCCACAUGCACGACAGCAGGACUGCGUUUCGUGUGGCAUAUUUUGUUUACAAUUUGCAGAAUGCCUGAUAUUAGAAAAACAAGAAGUACCUAUAACAUGGACAAGAGAAUGCGUCCAAGUUACAGAGAUGAAAUGGUCAAAAAAAAUGGUGCAGUAGUAUCUGCAGAGUGUGUGGAAAGGCAGUCGGGCCGAAAGGUCCAAGGAAACCAACUGACUCUUGGGUUUGCUGUGAUACUUGCUCACUUGCAAGAUGGCAUCACCAAAAGUACUUACACCAGUCUCUCAGGAAAGCAUACAGAAAGUUGCCAUUCAAUUGUUCUAUGCUCAAAGUGGCACCUCCCGAUUUUAAUUGGACACUGGAAAGUAUUGGACAAAAGGAAGUAGUUGUAAUAGAAGACAAGGAAAAUAAUGUACGUCUUUUUGAAGGCUUAGAUUAAAAAGUUACUUUAUCAACUCGAAGAUAAAACCUAACAAUGAAUAUAUUAUUAUUUUUACCUAUAUUACAACGAAAAUUUAAAAAAACGUUAGUCGACAUUAACCACUAAAAAGACAGGUUUCAGUGAUUCUGGAAAAAAAUAAAUUGAUACAGAACAAUAUAAAAUAUUGUAAUAUAUUUCAAAUUUUAUUCAAAAUAAAAAAAGCACAGCGAAAUCUAAUGUAUGUUUUUAUUUCUGAAGAUCAGGUGAAAUCUUUCAAAAAAGAGGCAGAUAUUUAAAGCAAACCAACCAUUUGUAAAAUACUUGACAUUUUAAUUAUAGAUAUAUAUUCAAUUAUAG